rnacentral:snRNA from 1 species
UUGACAUCUAUAGGGUUUGGGUAU